rnacentral:rRNA from 1 species
GAUGAACGCUAGCGGCAGGCCUAACACAUGCAAGUCGAGGGGUAACUAGAGUGAUAGCAAUAUUACUUUGGCUAGACCGGCGCACGGGUGCGUAACACGUAUGCAACCUACCUUAUACUGGGGAAUAACUUCGAGAAAUCGGCGCUAAUACCCCAUAACAUUGCGAAGAGGCAUCUCUUUGCAAUUAAAGCUCCGGCGGUAUAAGAUGGGCAUGCGUCCAAUUAGCUAGUUGGUGAGGUAACGGCUCACCAAGGCUACGAUUGGUAGGGGUUCUGAGAGGAUGAUCCCCAACAGUGGUACUGAGACACGGACCAGACUCCUACGGGAGGCAGCAGUGAGGAAUAUUGCGCAAUGGACGAAAGUCUGACGCAGCCAUGCCGCGUGCAGGAUGACGGCCCUAUGGGUUGUAAACUGCUUUUGUACGGGAAUAAACCCUUCUACGUGUAGGAGGCUGAAGGUACCGUAAGAAUAAGCACCGGCUAACUCCGUGCCAGCCGCCGCAGUAAGAC